UUUCCGACUCGAGCACGCGAGCGCGUCACUUCUCCAGCCUUCCUAUUCUCUGAUCCUUACGCUGAACGAAGACUACGUCAAAAUGAAAUUCUUUAUGAUUUUCGUGGUUAUGAUGGUGGUGAUGCUGGCGCUGGUGAGUGCGGCUCCCCAACUCGUCACCACCAAGAGGAAGUUUCCUGGCCAACGUCGCCUGGGGGCCACCAACUACGGCUUUUAUUCUUACGGCAAACAAGGAUUCAAAAAGAGGAAACUCUAAAGCCUGAAUAAUCCUGGAAAUUUAAAACCUGGCCACUUCUUACCGGUGAUUCGUUUCACCAGAAAUCCUCACCAGCGCUUCGAUUUUUUCGGACACCUGCGUUGUGGUCAGAGAGAGUUUCGUGUUUAUUGCGCGCGUCUUACGCAUUUUCAUAUCUUUGUUAUACUUAGUUUGUAGCCUUGUCUGAUAGCUGAAAAAUUAUUUAGUUGACGUUGAUUAAAGUUAAAUGCGGCUAGAAGUUAAUUCUAAGAGGUUCUCAAAUCUCUAAUUGAAGCAGGAAAAGCGUUGUUUUUACAAUUUACUAUGCAUAAGCAUGCGGAAAGAUUUCAUUUUUUUUAAAUGCGUCGUUUACAACUUCAUCAAUUAGAGUCUAUUUAUUCGAAAAAUUAGUGAAAAAUAAAUGAGUAUCUUCUGUGUUAAUGAACAUUCAUAUAGUUCAGAUAAUCUAGAAGCAAUGAUGGUCUUGAAAAUUUGAGAAAUAUUCAUAUUGCUUUCAGUCAUUUCAAUUCUUUAUUUUUAUUUCUAAAGAUAUUCAUUUACUUAAGGUCAUUUGUACAGCUUGCGUGGUCAUCUCAUUGAAAUUUUUGGUACCUUUUGGUCAUUGGUACCUUUCAAUAAAUGUUAUUUUCAACCGUUCAUCAGAAAACGAAUUAAUCAUCAGCUGACCAAUCACUUAUGAAACUCGAUUACAGCAUAUGAGUUCGCAUUUUUUAAAACAACCUUAUAUCUACAUUACAAUUUACUUCUCGUUCAUUUUCUCGAAAGCCAAGUUCAAGUUUCGAUUGCCGUCUUGCAUUUAAGUUUUCAAAACAAAUUGCAGAAUUACUUAUAUUUAAAAGCGUUAAUUAGCAGACAAAAUUUUGUAAUACAAAGAAAACUUGAAAAAUGACUUUUCAUCCUUCCUCACCACCAACAGGGUUUCGAAGAAAAUUUUUUACAAGGAAAUUCAAUGCUCUAAAAAUAACUUGUUCUCUAUCGACAAAUUUAAAAUGGUUGUAAUAAUGCCAGUUUGUGUUUUUUUCGCUUUAAAAUUUGGAUUUGGUCAGAAAGUGCUUAAGUGCUUAUUUGUAAUCGGUUGUUUGUGUUGCCUGAACGUUAGCAGAAUUUCCGGAGAAUUUUAUUCAACUAAUUUUGUAUGAGAUUUGUAUUCGAUUCCACACUAUUUAAUUUUAAAGGCAAAUCAACCAACGCCUAUUAUUGACUAUAAUUUGUGAUUCAUCUACAAUGAACCCUGAGGCGGUCAUGAGAUACUUCACUUCUUUGUAGUAAUUGUUAUUCCAUCUCAUUCUCGCUUCAAUUGCAGAAAUUAUCAUCUAAUUCCCAUCUAGUUCUCGCUUCAAUUCUCCUUCUCAAUUCAUUCAAGCUCUAAAUAUAUAACGAAAUCCUUCUAAAGACAACCCAUACCGAUUUGAGUCAUAAAAAACACCGACUAACAAUUUGUAUAAUAUUAAUAGAUCCCGUAACUGGGUCUACAGUCAUUCAGGACCUAUCACAAUGACAUGAAAUAGAAAAAAGUGACCCCAGAUAUCUCUGGCCUGGCAAAAUCCAUUUGGAGAUUUCAAUUUCGUCUAAAUUCUUGGGCGCUGCUUUAGCUUAUUUUCACAAUUGCUAGAUAAAUAAAUUUCACUUGCCUUUUUGUAACUAUCUUAUAAUAGCCCUACCUAAAAUAUACAUUCAAAAUUAAUUUGAACUUGGGUCUUAGUGUAACAUGUUAAUUCAACAUGUUUUUUUGUACUAUUUCGCUUCCUAGUUAAAAAACAACUAGCAAUACAAGGUGGUCAUUUUUUUUGAAUUGACAAUUCGAAGCCUCAAAUUUUGGUACAAAUUUCAAACUGCACAGUUCAUUUCUUCAGAAGUUCAGAGGAAAAACCGUAAACUGUUUUUUAGAGGCUUGCACAUGUGCAUGCUCGUAAUGGCAAAAUAAAUCGACUAAUUAGGCUUCAAGGCUUAUGUAUGCAGGUUCCCAACCUAGCAAUUUUGUUGCAAGACUCCAUCAUGAUGCCAUUACACGAUGCCAUUAGGGUGACUACUAUAAAUAUUAUUACAGUGACUUUUCGACUAUAAAUGUAAGUAUAUAGAAUAAAAAUAAUAAAUGGCUUUAAGAAUAAAUUACAAUUUAUAUGUUAAUAUGAUUUGAAAAGUACGAGCGAUUUUUAUCUUUUGCAGCAAACAUUAAAAGAAAUGAAUAAAUUUUA